AGGAAGUGAAAGUCACUUCCAACCUUAUGUUACAGCCACCAGAAAAACAAAUAGGGCAGACAAAGCAACCAACCAUCAUUCACAGUUCUUGGAUCUAAAUCAACUCAUCCCCAAAAGAGAAAAAGAAAAACAGGAUAAAUAUCGGAAUACAUUUUGGAAGAGUGAAGCUGAAAUGAACGCCGUUCUCAUGGACUGGUAACGUUAGGUAAUGGAGGUACAUAUCCUGGACCCACCUAUAAUCCCUUCACCUGGCUCUAUAAAGUGGUCCAUUGUCCAGAAUACACCUACAGUUGAAGUGCAGUCUUUUCUGCAUUGGUAUCUACCCGGAUGUUGUUGUGGGCUAGGAGAUGGCAUGACAAAUACCUCCUGCAGGUGAAGAAAGGUAGAAGCUUCUGGAGGACUGCAGUCAUCCACUUCCUUAUCUGAGCCCCAGGACUAAAGGUCAAAGGGUGACAGACACACAGACAAAACCAGGGAGACCAUGCAAACCAGCCUGGUCUCAUAGACUAACAUAGUAAACGUAAAGCCGCAACACUCAAAUUAUGAUAUGAUAUGUUACAUAAGACAAAAGGUUACUUAAGGCAAAAUCUAAAGUAGGGUGGUUGGUCGGGCGCAAGUCAAAGUUUGCGUGUUCGAAUCUCAUUACAGACAACUUUAGAAAUGUAGCUACUUUGUAACCACUUAGCAUGUUAGCUAACCCUUCCCCUAACCUAGCUAAAGUUAGCCAUUGGAAUUCAUAACAUGAUACAUUUGCAAAUUCGUAACAUUGUAUGAAUUGUAACUAAUAACGUAUCAUAUGACAUGGAUAUCCACAAAUGAAUACAUAUCACACUAUCAUACUAAUUGGAGUGUUCCAGAUGUACUUUUACUAUGUUAUGUCGACCCGAGUCCAGGCUGUGCAAAAAGGCAAAGACGGGUAGCAGGGAAUCAUAGAUGAGUUCAUAGGCAACACAUGAACACUGAGUGAGACUACAUUGAUAAAGAUAGGUAGUGGGGGAAAAAAUGAACCAGAAAUGCAUAUGUAGUGGAGGAGAGGUCUUUUUAAAGUGGAGGUAAGAGGUGCUGUGCAUCUGGAGGAUUCAUGGGGCUGGUAGCAAAGAGAGCAAAGGCAUAUGGGUAGGAUGGCCAGGACUGGCAGGGUUUCAGGGGAGAAGAGUGCUGAUAUCUCAUAACUGUCAAAAUGGACACA
ensembl:lncRNA